UGGUGGGCAAAUUGAUCAUAGAGAGCUUGGAUAUUUCUUUCAGGAAAGACAGAUUCAAGACGAAUGUGGGAGGUGCUGCGGAGAAGAAUAUCAUGUUGAGGUGGGCUGAGUUGCAGAGGGAGACUUGGUCUCCAAUCCAGCGACCUUGGUAAUUUGAUUAAUGAGUAACCUGAUACUAAUUAGCGUAGCUUAGUGUUGUUUUCUUUUGCUAAUUAGUUAUAAUAAUUAACUUUAUUUGUAAACGUUUUUUUCAAUUAAUCAAAUGGCUUUUAACCAAAAAAAAAAAAAGUCUUUCAUUUUUAUUCUUUCUUGGCUCCAAUUAACUGUUAUUAACAAAAACCUUCUAAUCCGAAUUCUGAAGUCACGA
rnacentral:lncRNA from 1 species